rnacentral:misc_RNA from 1 species
CUCAGGGAUCGAGUCGCCGCUUUGAUGGCGGUGGACUUGUUUUUGAGUCCCGGGGAGUCCUUCCCCUGGCUCUAAAGUGACGGUCUUGCGGCCCGUGUUGAACCGAGAACAUGAUAACGUAGCGCUCACUGUUCUGGGGUUCUCCACCGCGGCUAGCCUUGAACUUCUACGA